GCAGCAUCUCUUGAGUACAUUCAGCUCGCAGCAGCACAGCAGGCAGGAAGGCAGAGUGGAGGGGGGAGAGCACCAGCACCUCACCAAAGGGGGCGACACCACACCUCUCUCUCCUUCUCUCUCUCUCUCACAGACACACACUUUCACACGUCACACACGCGCAUUUGUGAGGAGGCGUGAGGCUCAGCAGGAGGAACACCACAUACACGCGCGCUGUUUCGCUGGCUUAGCUGCACUUUGGAGAGCUGUCUCUUGAAGACUGGACCAGAGCUGUAUCCAUCGCUUCAUCCAUCCUUUCCUUCCACAGAGGCAGCUCUCUGACACGCAUCCCUCGAUCAUUUGGACUGACUUGCUUUCUGUCACUCAUCCGAUCGCUGAUCACCUCUGCUUUCACCCCAUUCAGACCUAAAAUCCGAGGAGAAAAUAACUGACCGACUGAGGGACCCACCUUUCGACCGCAGUCAUGAACUUCCUCAGACGCCGUCUCUCUGACAGCAGCUUCAUGUCCAACCUUCCCAAUGGCUACAUGACAGACCUCCAGAGGCCUGACCCACCUGCUCCUCCUCCCCCCACUGCCUCCUCCCCUUCCCAGCAGGGUGCAGCGCCGGCUCCUGCCCCGUCCCCAACCAAAGCUCCAGGACCGACCCAGGUGCCGGCCAGCUCUCCUGCAGCUCAGGAGCGGCGCCCUAGCCAGCUGGCUCAGCAGCCUCAACAGGCCCAGUCCUCCACCGGUGGUUCCUCUGGCUUCUUCAGCUCCUUCAGCUCCAUCACCAAUGUGGUCAAACAGACAGCCGCGUCUGCUGCUGGCUUUGUGGAGCAGUCGGCUCCCUCUCCAUCCCUCUCCAAGAAGUUCAAGAUUCUGUUGGUCAUUGAUGAGCCACAGCAUGAGUGGGCUAAAGUGUUUCGAGGAAAGAAGGUCCUUGGGGAAUAUGACAUCAAAGUGGAGCAGGCCGAGUUCUCAGAGAUCAACCUCGUCUCACAUUCAAACGGGACGUGUAAUGUGGACAUGCAGGUCAUCAGAGGUGGGACCAAAGUUGUCAGGUCAUUCAGGCCUGACUUUGUGUUGGUGCGCCAGCAUGCCUUCAGCAUGGCCCAAAACGAGGAUUUUAGGAACUUAAUCAUUGGUCUUCAGUAUGCUGGCAUCCCCUCAGUCAACUCUCUGGACUCCAUCUACAACCUCUGUGACAAACCUUGGGCUUUUUCUCAGCUGAUCAACAAUCAGAAGAGGUUGGGUUCAGAUAAGUUCCCUCUCAUUGAUCAGACCUUCUACCCCAACUACAGAGACAUGAUUACAACACCAAGCUUCCCAGUGGUGGUGAAGAUUGGACAUGCUCACUCUGGAAUGGGAAAGGUUAAGGUGGACAAUGUGAGCGACUUCCAGGACAUUGCAAGUGUGGUGGCCAUCACUCAGACUUACUGUACUACAGAGCCAUUUGUAGACGCCAAGUACGACAUCAGGGUCCAGAAAAUUGGCACGGACUACAAAGCCUACAUGCGAACAUCUAUCUCUGGUAAUUGGAAAAGCAACACUGGAUCUGCCAUGUUGGAACAAGUAGCCAUGACUGACAAGUAUAAACUGUGGGUCGAUACCUGCUCAGAGAUCUUUGGAGGGCUGGAUAUCUGCGCUGUCAAAGCCAUCUGUGGCAAGGAUGGAAACGACUACAUUACAGAGGUUGUGGGUUCAUCUAUGCAGCUGAUUGGAGAUCACCAGGCAGAGGACCGCCAGCUCAUUUCAGAGGUGGUGCUGGCUAAGAUGAACCAAGCACUGGCGUCCAGGUCAUCUAGCGUUUCCCGCUCACCUACGCGCUCCCCUCAAAGCCAAAAGCCAGCUACUGUGCAGCCCCAACAGACUGCUGCCCUUAAGGAAGGACUGGCUGAUCCUAACAGGACUUCAAGCCAACGCCCUCAACCUCAAGGUUUCUGAACACUAUUCACCAAUGUAAAAGUGCUGCUGCUGUAGCAUGUCUAGAAAACACUAACUAAAUUCAUCAUUGGACAGUCCCCUUGCUAACAUCACUUUCUGAAAUGAAGUAUCCACUAGCUGUCAACUUGAACAUCUUCCUUAUCAAACAAAGUACUGCCAUCAGAAAGAAAAACAAGUGGAAAUAAGUAUUCAGUGCUUUCACAUCGUUAUAUUGAGACUUGAUACUGUAACACACAGAUGCCCGAUUAUCCAGUUUACCAGCGAUCUCACGGACAUGAUAGUCUGUGGCAAUUUAACAAAUAAAAUAAAAGGAAUGAAUUGGCAUGUUUUUGGAAGUAGACCUGUUUGUUUUUUCUGCCAAGAAUUAGACAAGAAGACCAACAGUAAUGUCUUCUCUGUACUGUAGAUAUGCACCUACCAUUAGCUUUGCUUAGGGCUUGGAAACUGGGAAAACAGCUUACCUGGCAACCCGAUCCACCUUUAGAACUCCCUGAUUUGCACUUUGACGUCGUGUUUUGCUCUGUGGCUUUCACAGGUUUUGUAUUCAUCAAAAUAAUGACACACAUCUUGUCAAAAUGGGAAACUUUGAUCUGCUAUGGUUUCUUUGGAAAGAGCCAUGCUAGCUGUUUCCCCUGUUUUCAGGCUUUGUUUUUAGUCUACCUAAUUACCUACUGAGUGUAGCUUCAUGUUUACUGUAUAGGUACAAGAGGCAUAUUCAUCUUCUCAUCUAACUCUUGGCAAGAAAAUGAAAGAGUGCAGAAGAGUAGAAGCAGCUUGUAUUUUGUGAGCAUACUUAUCCUUGUUCCUUGAACUUAACAGUGUCCUUCAUUACUGCCUCAAACUAGUAUAUUGAUAUAAUGGCUUCACUUCGGUGUUGACAGAAAUGAUUGGUGCACUAGUCUGGGUCCAAGAACAGCAAAUAGUCUCUUCUAUCUGUCAAAGCUAUGCCUUGCCUCUUUUUAACUUGUGGCAUUCACUUAUAUUAACAAGCCAGUGUUGUCUCUUUUUAACUUGUGACAUUCACUUGAAUUAACAAGCAAAUGUAUAUUAAAAUGCACUUAGCCAGCAUGUUGAGUUUAAUUAUAGAUGUAAUGUAAGUGUUAAAACGUGUGUGUGUGUGUGAGUGUGUGUGGUGGUGUUUGUGCUCAGGGCUGACGUUUUAAAACUAAGUGUGCCUACUAAACGCAGUGGUAAAACGGUAUCCAAAGUGUUACAUUAACAAAGCCAUUAAUGUCGGAGUCGUUGUGUUUGUCCGUGAAUUUGCGUUUGCAUGUUUGUUCAUUGUGGUUUCUCAUUUUUUGCAUGGGUGUGGCAAAUGCCUGUACUCCAUGUGGUGGUUAAGAUGUUGUAGAAAUAGCAGCUUUUUGUGUCUUAUGUGAAUUGCUAGAGAUAAAUAUGUGCCUAUUGAAUGUUAAGAUGUGCAAAUCGGACUUCGAUAUGAAUUAUGCAUUAAUAACAAUGCUAUAUGUGAUACUAAUUUAACACUGUGAAAACAUGUGCACUUAUUGGUGGAUUAUUAUUUUAUUUUUAUGUGUUCUUUAGUGAAAAGCAAAAUAACUUACAGAGAUUACGAUCACUCUGCUUGUUAAGUUUUGGCCAGCUCAGUUGGGUUUCUGUGGUUUCUGCUUAAAUCAUUUUUAUAAUCUUUAAAUUGCAUUUUUAUGCUAAAUAAAUCGAUUUCCUUCUGGCUGAGCAACAAGAUCUUGAUUUUUUUUGUGAGUAGCUGCUUAGAGUUUGUCUUUGGUUGUAAAAAGGCCUCAACUGUUUUGUGUUAUAAUACCUGAAACAGGCAAUCUGGCUUCAUAAAGUGCAAAAUAUGAUGGGUUUUUUUCACAAUUACGACACCUGAUUAAAUAAAGUUUUUAAAAAGUUAGCAUAUUUUUCUUUGUCUGCAUGAUCAUUCCUCAUUUGCUUGGAUCCAGACCAUUGAAUUGCUAAUAUUUGAACAUCUGGCUAUAGAUUUGAUGAAGAUUUUAAUUUUUAACCCUUUUCUAAUUAAAGAGAUUAAAUAAUAUUUUUAAUAAUAUAGCUAAAAUCAUUUGCUACUUUCUGUACUUGCAUGACCGAUAUGGCGAAAAUCAAUUAUAAUAGCGGUCAACAAAAUAUUAAGCAAAUCUCUUAACGAAAUGUUCCCUAAUUCUGGGUUUGUAGCCAAGCAAAUUGUUAUUGUGUCACCCUUUAUGAAUUAUGUUUGUACAAACUGUAUUUUCUUUGGUUUUUAUGCGUCGUGAGUCCCAAGCAACCAUUGGGAUGCUUUAUGACAAUCUGAUCAAACGUGCACCAGUGAAAGCGCAGAGUGUGGACACAUCAUCAGAAUCAGCUAAGAGAGCAUCUGAACCAGUACCAAAGCCCAGCCAGGCUCAGAGACCUGGUCCAGGUCCAGCUCAGAAACCAGCU